rnacentral:rRNA from 1 species
UGUCUAGGGGUUCAAACCUAAAGAACCCAAAUAUCUAAACGGAGAAAUUCAAUACCGUUUCUAAUCCAAACGGUGUGCACUUUUCUCUUAGUAAGACGUUGUGAUCCAUUAGGAAUUGACUUGUCUCUUUUGUGGACUCGUCAUUGGGCUACCAAUAGGCUGGCGUUGAAGAUCACCCAGGCAAAUGGCACGAUCAUUUGGUUGUGCGUAUUGUCGGAUGAGCAUGCCAUGUACUGAUGUAGCUGCCUGAUGGAUUUUAAAGGCCAUACCACUGAUGCUUGCAUCACCCCAGCAAUGGGGCUUAUGUAGGAUAUGUGCCCGAUCAACAACGGUUUCAUUUGGGAUACCUUUGGGACCCGUCUUGAAACACGGACCAAGGAGUCUAUCUAGUAUGCGAGUAAAUGGGAUUAAUGAACUAAACCUAUUUGCGUAAAGAACUUGACUGUUUUUUGAUGGGAUUACGUGCGCACUCAUUUACUUUGUGCGCACCUCCAUCCCGGGGUAUUUUCAUCACAUAUGUGGGCAACUGCAUAUAGAAAAUAUACCAUGAGCAUACUGGACAUGACCCGAAAGAUGGUGAACUAUGCCUGAUCAGGUUGAAGUCAGGGGAAACCCUGAUGGAGGACCGAAGCAAUUCUGACGUGCAAAUCGAUUGUCAGAAUUGGGCAUAGGGGCGAAAGA